CUGUGCUAUAGGUCCCCCUUCUCUUCCAACUGGACAAUUCGAGAGAGAUCUUCAAGGAGAACCUUCAGCCGUUCUGUUGAGAAGAUUUUGGCUUAAGAUGCUUACCACUUGGAGCAUCUCGAGUAGAAUAAGCUCUGUUGGCAUUGAACACCAUAUGACAGGAAUGCAAUAUACUACCUAUACACACCAAUGAAGAGAAAAUUUUGUUGCAAAAUAAAACUCAACAAAGGCAUCCAAAACAAAUCAAGAAUCUGUUAAUAGCCUAAGGAACAAUGAUUCUUCUGCUGGGAUUUGUGAAAUGUUGGCAGGUUUCUUCUUUCACUGAAACUGCAUUUGUAUCUCUGACUGUCCUUCUGUAUAAUAUUCAUCAGAGAUUUUCACUCCUGCAAGCAUGUAACGAACAACA